AUAAUAAUAAGGAGAAGAAGAAGUGUUAGAGCCGGUCCUGGAAUGGAAGCGAGCCAGCCAGAGGGUGCGCAGUUUUAUCCAUGGUCCUCGACCUGCGGCAUUACCGACCCUGCCGCUGUAGUCUGUGGGGUAGGCGUCUGUUCUCCGUAGACGCCUGACAGAAAUCAAGCCUAACCGUGCCGAACUACUCAACAAUCCUAAAAACGUGGGUUAAUGUCCAACAACCAACAGGAGUCUGGUGUAAAUUCACAAGUCACUCUUGCGUGCGUGCCACAGUUACCACAGUUUCACGCUGCGGUUAAGUACGUAGCCUACUGUUUUUUUACGUCGCGUACGUCCGGUUAUACCAGGCACAUUGUCAUUUAGCCAAUAGCGACUUUCCUUACUGCGGAGUUAGUGCUUGCAUGGCCGUUUGUUUUAUCAUGCUUCUGUUUUCGGGACCAUCUUUGUCAGUGUGGUCCAUUUUACAGGAUUAAAUGACUGAAUGGAGACAUAUCCCGUGUUUGUGUCCCACGGGAGCAACUGUGGCUUUCCACCGGCGUCCUCGUUUCCCAUGAGGUGCACCAGGAUACUAACGCUGACGUUAGUCUUCUUGUUCCUGGACAAAUAUGGUCAUGCUGUCCAGGUGAUUGGAGGAAACCGGACUGCAGUCCAAGGAGGGACGAUUGUCUUACAUUCCAACAUAAUUGACACCACAGAGUCCCUCUUCAAAAUUUCAUGGAUGAGGGCUACCCGAGGAGAUCCUCUGAAUAACAGCCUCUUUAUGAUUGUGCCCGUAAAUGGAGGAGUGGUGGAUAAUGGGCACAAAGAUGGUCGAUUUAAAUUCAUUGGGAACUUAAAAGAGAAAAAUGGAUCUCUCCGGUUAUCAAACGUCACAUUGCUGGAUGAAGGGGUCUACACAUGCAUCUUCACUCUUUUCCCGAGUGGAAGUCACAAGACGGAGAUACCUCUAAAAGUGCUAGUGCCUCCAGUCACAGAGGUAAAAGACGAUCUUCCUGUUUUGGGUGAUAAAGAAAUUUCCCUUGCUACCUGCUUGGCUGCUGGUUCCAGGCCUCCAGCAGAGGUGAGGUGGCUCACCGGUACUCUCACACAAAAACUGAGGUCAACAACCGACUACAUCCAACAUGAAAAUGGUACAACAACCACAGUAGGCUACCUGAUAGGUGAACCUACCAGAGAAAUCUACCAACAUGUGGUCCACUGUGUCAUCACUAGUCCGGCUUUGUCGAAAGAGGAGACAAUACCAUUCACCCUACAGAUCUACUUUUCACCCAAGGAAGUGACCAUCAGCGUAAAGUCCAAAGACUCAUUUCAGUGUGUGACUGAAGCCAACCCAAGUGCAAAAUUUACCUGGAGCAGACCUGGUCAACCGUGGCCUCAAUCUGCUGUCGACGUACACGGUGCCACACUACAGUUUCCAAACAUGAACUCUGACCUGAAUGGCCUCUACCAGUGUGAAGUGUCUAACUUACAUGGACGUGACCGUGCUUAUGUGUUUGUGCACGUGACUUCAGUUCUGAGCUAAGCUGAACAGCAAGUCACCACUUCCUCCUCUCUGUGCCUCCUCCACAAGCACAAAUAAAACAAGCAGAGAAAAACAUGAAGCUCAGUCUCUGUGUUGUGGUCGUCAUGUUUCAUAGAAAUCAAGCAGCUCUGCUCUCCAUUCAGCUCCUAGCUGUGUGUCAUGUCCGUGCAGUGUCAGAUAAUCAUGUACAGGUACAGGUGGUCAGAGGAGACCCCGUCAUCUUCAACUGCAACAUAUCGGCGGGAAACUUAACACAAAUUACCUGGACCAAAGGCAAAUUUCUUUUUGCCCAUAGGAUCUUAGUAAAUUCCACUUUUUCAAAUUUCACCUACCAAAACGUGGCAAUAGACCCUUGCUGUCUUUCAAACCUGACUAUUUUGAAUGCUCAGCAUGAAGACACAGGACUUUACAAAUGUGUAAUGACCUACAAACAUGGUAUAACGACUACUACAUGGAAUUUAACUGUGCUUGAGAAACAUAAAGAAAACACCCUACCUCUUCAGCUUUGGAUUUUAAUUUUCAUACUUGCACAUGUGAUUGGAUUGCUUCUGUGUGGCAUCACUGCCACUGUCACAUGCUACGGAAGAAGCAAAUGCUUGGCCACGACGUCAAAAAAGAAACUCGACUUUGACAGCAGGACCCACAGUUGUGCCCAGUUUCAUGUUCAGUCAGGAGGAGAGUCUCUAGAGGUGACAACCCCUCAACACCAAAGUUGUGCAGAAUACAAUCGAAGCACAAGAUGCAGUCAGAAUUGGAGCCUCUACUACGCCGAUGUUCAGGUUAAGGCUGAAUAAAUAUUACAAGAGAUCAUGUGUAGAAAGUACAAGAGAGAUGAUGAUGGUGAUUCAAAAUAAAUGAAUCCAGCAAAGAGAAUGAAAGUUUGUUUUUCUAAAACAGAACAUUAAGUGCUUUUGUUCAAAAGCUUGUUGUGACACAAAACCAGUGAUUGUGAUUAUUGUGAGAAACUGUGAUUGAGAUAUGCUUUGUGAUAUCGGAGAGGGAUGGUCAUGUUUACAUCUUUAUGAUCAUUUUCAUUCUGAAAAACAUAUUUAAAAUGAUUACUGUGUGAUAUUUGUGAGAAACAAAGAUAUUCUCUUCAGUAUGUGGAAUAAGACAUGUACAGAUCAAGACAAUAAUUCAUCUAAAAUGAUAUUUUGACACACAUUGAGGCUUUAAAGUAACAUUUUUACUUCAAUUACUGUUUAAGAGUCAAAGCUUCAAGUAAAACUUGAUUUCUAUAAUUCACCAUAGUUUACUUUAAAUUUGAAGUGUACAGAAGUCAUAAUUAUGUGCCCUUUAUAAUGAAUGACUGUAAGAUAUUGACAUUGAAGGUCAAAUUGUUUUCUGCUUCUCAUGCCCAUGUUUGACUUGAAGUUGUGAUUGUUUGAUAUUUGAUCAAGAAUGCUGAUUUUGUUUUUUCUCAUUUCUGUGUUUUACACAUAGACCAUAUAAAGAGCAAAAAUAAUCUUUUUAAAUAGUGACACUGCUGGUUGUGAAAAGAAUUUGAUUUAUAACAUCAGUAAACAUUUUCCUAAAGGGUUAAUGGUUUCACUCACUAGGUUCAGGUGUUUCUUCAAUAGAACAUGACGUCAUUUUGUUAUUGUUUGACACACAUGAGUGGACACCAGUGUGAUUGACAGUUGUAUGGUCCAUGAGGUGCCUGGCUGCAGGUGAUGUCUCUGAAUAUGCUGUAGCAAAGGCUCAAAUCAAGGAUUCAAAAUAAGAGUUCAAGUUCUUAUGGGUGAUAUCGUGACGAGGUGUUCCUUGAUUUUGCACCUGUUCUUUCAUGUUAACAUGUCUGCAAAGAGGCCUAUGUAUGUAGUUGUGUAAGACGCCAGCAGAUGGAGGCAAAGACUGUUAUAAAUGCUGAAAGUAUAGCACAAAUCAUCAUUUCACAAUGAUGAUUUGUGAAAUGAUUUUAAGGUUGUGUUGUGACAAAUGUUUUUGAUGGAAAUCCUCAAUGCCUGGGUGACUACAAAACCCUUUAAUUUGUGUAUUUUGCAUGAGGGCAAUAACUAUUAGUAAUCUGGUUGCGUUCAAAUUUCUUAUUUCUCAUUAAAUGUAUCUGUGGUGUAUGUCCUUACAUUUUUACAUUUUCAAAUGGUGUAUUCCCAUAUUAAGGGACCACGGUUCAUUCCUGUUAUUUUCUAUCUAUCUGUGAUACAUUU